rfam:Punica granatum cultivar Dabenzi scaffold62, whole genome shotgun sequence.
GGCGGGAUGAUGAGAAGAAUCAAACGAAUUCUCAUUAAUUGUUCAACAACAUGAGAUAAUAACCAGCUACGUUUGACUGCU